rnacentral:misc_RNA from 1 species
CCCAAUGCAAUAUAUUCAGUGACACUAGAAUCUAAAUUGUACGCAAUCUUUCUUGAAACCAUACAACUAAAAAAAAAUCGAUAAGAAUCAUGUAAUAGACUGCAACUAUGUUAUUAAAAAACCGAAAUAUUCCUAAACCUUUGCAGGAAUCUCCCCUCCGGAAAACUUUUUUGACUUCUUUCCGACUAUUUUUGACAUGGACAAGAAUAUGCUUAUGCUUUCUCUCUCUUUGCUUCAAAAAUAAGUCUCAGUACCACAACAUCAGUCUUCUGAUUUUAUGAACUAAUAUUUGAAUUGUGAUCCUUUAAGUCUUAAAUUGCAAAACAACGUAAGCAGCUUGCAUUUGUAAUGUAGUAGAUUAGUUUAUUGACGAUGUGGUAACCACUUUUAAUUGCAUCGAAUAAGUCAAGGCAGUAUUAGCUUCUAAAUACAAGUACUUUUAAAAUUAUUUGUACAAGUAUAUUGACUUGGUUUUAAGCGUGACGCCAAUUAUUUUAUGAAGUUUUUG